ensembl:lncRNA
AAGUAAUACACAUUUACACAAAUUAACAAAAUAUUAAUUGUGUGCACAGGGAGAUUUUUGGACAGAGCUGAGCAACAGCUGUUAUCCAUCGGGAGGAGAGGAAGGGAAGGGGGGCAUUUUUGUGGGGUGUUUCCCCUAUUCCUGUGUGUCCGUCGUUUUCUCUCGCUCUGUUCUCUCUCGAAUGGAAAGGGAGCUUUGCUUUUCGUUACUUAAACGGACGCGAACGCACUGGAAUACACGGAGCCACGCUGCUUGUUGCGUUAAUUGGUGAAUCGCACCAAUGAGCGGCCGUGUUUUAAUCGGUAAAGUGUCGCCCUUUCAGCCGGCUGCAGGAGCGAAGAGGACGCUCAGAACAAGUUUAAGCUCUGGAUCUGGAUGCUGAUCCUUCGAGCAGCUUCCACAGCCCGACGUGAGGGGGAACACCUAGAAACUCAUAGCUCCAGCUGAAACUCGCGCCACUCCCCCACACCCUUGAUUCUGGCCAGC